rnacentral:rRNA from 1 species
GAUGAACGCUAGCGGGAGGCCUAACACAUGCAAGCCGAGCGGUAUUGUUUCUUCGGAAAUGAGAGAGCGGCGUACGGGUGCGUAACACGUGUGCAACCUGCCUUUAUCUGGGGGAUAGCCUUUCGAAAGGAAGAUUAAUACUCCAUAAUAUAUUGAACGGCAUCGUUUAAUAUUGAAAGCUCCGGCGGAUAGAGAUGGGCACGCGCAAGAUUAGCUAGUUGGUGAGGUAACGGCUCACCAAGGCGAUGAUCUUUAGGGGGCCUGAGAGGGUGAUCCCCCACACUGGUACUGAGACACGGACCAGACUCCUACGGGAGGCAGCAGUGAGGAAUAUUGGUCAAUGGGUGCAAGCCUGAACCAGCCAUCCCGCGUGAAGGACGACUGCCCUAUGGGUUGUAAACUUCUUUUGUAUAGGGAUAAACCUACCCUCGAGAGGGUAGCUGAAGGUACUAUACGAAUAAGCACCGGCUAUCUCCGUG